rnacentral:misc_RNA from 1 species
AAGUCGUAACAAGGUUUCCGUAGGUGAACCUGCGGAAGGAUCAUUACUGAACCGUUGACACGAGCUGUUGCUGGCCCUCGAAAGGGGGCACGUGCACGCUCUGUUUACACAUCCACUCACACCUGUGCACCCUCUGUAGUUCUGUGGCCUUGGGGACUCUGUCCCCUUGCUGCGGUCCUACGUUUUUACACACACACACUGUAACAAAGUCUCAUGGAAUGCAUGUCGCGUUUAACGCAAUACAAUACAACUUUCAGCAACGGAUCUCUUGGCUCUCGCAUCGAUGAAGAACGCAGCGAAAUGCGAUAAGUAAUGUGAAUUGCAGAAUUCAGUGAAUCAUCGAAUCUUUGAACGCACCUUGCGCCCUUUGGCUAUUCCGAAGGGCAUGCCUGUUUGAGUAUCAUGAACACCUCAACUCUCAUGGUCUGCCAUGAUGAGCUUGGACUUUGGGGGUCUUGCUGGCCUAGUGUCGGCUCCUCUCAAAUGGAUCAGCUUGCCAGUGUUUGGUGGCGUCACAGGUGUGAUAACUAUCUACGCUUGUGGUUUUCUGCCAUGUAACCUUCAGUGAUGGAGGUUCGCUGGAGCUCACAGAUGUCUCUCCUUGGGGAGGACAGCUUUUUGAACGUUUGAUCUCAAAUCAGGUAGGACUACCCGCUGAACUUAAGCAUAUCAAUAAGCGGAGGAAAAGAAACUAACAAGGAUUCCCCUAGUAACUGCGAGUGAAGCGGGAAAAGCUCAAAUUUAAAAUCUGGCGUGCCUCUGGCCGUCCGAGUUGUAGUCUGGAGAA